UGCCAGACUCCUACGGGAGGCAGCAGUGGGGAAUAUUGCACAAUGGGGGAAACCCUGAUGCAGCGACGCCGCGUGAGUGAAGAAGUAUUUCGGUAUGUAAAGCUCUAUCAGCAGGAACGAGACAAGACGGUACCUGACUAAGAAGCCCCGGCUAACUACGUGCCAGCAGCCGCGGUAAUACGUAGGGGGCAAGCGUUAUCCGGAUUUACUGGGUGUAAAGGGGGCGCAGACGGCAGCGCAAGCCAGGAGUGAAAGCCCGGGGCCCAACCCCGGGACUGCUCUUGGAACUGCGCGGCUGGAGUGCAGGAGGGGCAGGCGGAAUUCCUGGUGUAGCGGUGAAAUGCGUAGAUAUCACGCAGAACCCCGAUUGCGAAGGCAGCAUGCCGGCUUCCGACUGACGCUGAAGCACGAAAGCGUGGGGAUCGAACAGGAUUAGAUACCCCGGUA
rnacentral:rRNA from 1 species